UACGUAGGGCGCAAGCGUUAUCCGGAAUUAUUGGGCGUAAAGAGCUCGUAGGCGGUUUGUCGCGUCUGCCGUGAAAGUCCGGGGCUCAACUCCGGAUCUGCGGUGGGUACGGGCAGACUAGAGUGAUGUAGGGGAGACUGGAAUUCCUGGUGUAGCGGUGAAAUGCGCAGAUAUCAGGAGGAACACCGGUGGCGAAGGCGGGACUCUGGGCCGAUACUGACGCUGAUGCGCGAAAGCCAGGGGAGCGAACGGG
rnacentral:rRNA from 1 species